GGCGAACUUUACAUGCCGUAGCACGACAUGGCGGUGAUACAACAUGAUUAGAUCAAACUAACACAACAGAGCCAGAGAGCCUAACUGUCUAUAUAUAAAAUAUAUUAUACCUCAAACUCAAAUUUUCCUAUAAAAGAACAGCAUUUGUACCACGUGACAAUGUGUUUUUUUACGGUAUUUCACUCAAAUUCACGAUUUCGCAAUGCAGCGUGAGAUCCACUGUGGUGGAUAUUAUAGUAUCUCACGCUCACACGCGACGAAAGGAUACCAUGCACGCUCUUAAAGAACAUGGCGUUCGCGAGCUGUUGUUUGUAGUUUCGUGCAGGCGCGUACAGAUUUCUUGAUUUACUGCAACCAAAAAUUUUUAAGACGUACGUUACCUUCAAUAAUCCAAAG